UACGGAGGGGGCGAGCGUUGUCCGAAGUUACUGGGCGUAAAGCGCGCGUAGGCGGUCUCUUAAGUCCGGGGUGAAAGGUUCAGCGCUCAACGCGAACAGUGCCCUGGAGACUGGGGGACUUGAGUGUGGGAGGGGGCAGUGGAAUUCCGGGUGUAGCGGUGAAAUGCGUAGAUAUCCGGAGGAACACCGAUGGCGAAGGCAGCUGCCUGGCCUGACACUGACGCUGAGGUGCGAAAGCGUGGGGAGCAAACAGG
rnacentral:rRNA from 1 species